GCUACGGGGGGCAGCAGUGGGGAAUAUUGGGCAAUGGAGGAAACUCUGACCCAGCAACGCCGCGUGAAUGAUGAAGGUCUUCGGAUUGUAAAGUUCUUUUCUAAGGGAAGAAGAAAGUGACGGUACCUUAGGAAUAAGCCUCGGCGAACUACGUGCCAGCAGCCGCGGCAAUACGUAGGAGGCGAGCGUUAUCCGGAAGGACUGUGCGGAAAGGGUGCGUAGGUGGUUUGGAAAGUUAGUUGCUGAAACUCAAGGCUCAACCUUGGAACUGCUACGAAAACUGUUUGACUUUAGUGCAGGAGAGGCAACCGGAAUUCCUAGCGUAGCGGUGUAAUGCGUAGAUAUUAGGAGGAACACCAGUGGCGAAGGCGGGUUGCUAGACUGUAACUGACACUGAGGCACGAAAGCGUGGGGAGCAAACAGGAUUAGAUACCCUUGUAGUC
rnacentral:rRNA from 1 species